GAUGAACGCUGGCGGCGUGCCUAAUACAUGCAAGUCGAGCGAACAGACGAGGAGCUUGCUCCUCUGACGUUAGCGGCGGACGGGUGAGUAACACGUGGAUAACCUACCUAUCUGACUGGGAUAACUUCGGGAAACCGGAGCUAAUACCGGAUAAUAUAUUGAACCGCAUGGUUCAAUAGUGAAAGACGGUUUUGCUGUCACUUAUAGAUGGAUCCGCGCCGCAUUAGCUAGUUGGUAAGGUAACGGCUUACCACGGCGAGGAUGCGUAGCCGACCUGUGAGGGUGAUCGGCCACACUGGAACUGGGACACGGUCCAGACUCCUACGGGAGGCAGCAGUAUGGAAUCUUACGCAAUGGGCGAAAGCCUGACGGAGCGACGCCACGUGAGUGAUAAAGGUCUUCGGAUCGUAAAGCUCUGUUAUUAGGGAAGAACAAAUGUGUAAGUAACUGUGCACGUCUUGACGGUACCUAAUCAGAAAGCCACGGCUAACUACGUG
rnacentral:rRNA from 1 species